GAUGAACGCUGGCGGCGUGCCUAAUACAUGCAAGUCGAGCGAAUGGAUUAAGAGCUUGCUCUUAUGAAGUUAGCGGCGGACGGGUGAGUAACACGUGGGUAACCUGCCCAUAAGACUGGGAUAACUCCGGGAAACCGGGGCUAAUACCGGAUAACAUUUUGAACCGCAUGGUUCGAAAUUGAAAGGCGGCUUCGGCUGUCACUUAUGGAUGGACCCGCGUCGCAUUAGCUAGUUGGUGAGGUAACGGCUCACCAAGGGAACGAUGCGUAGCCGACCGGGGAGGGUGAUCGGCCACACUGGGACUGGGACACGGCCCAGACUCCUACGGGAGGCAGCAGUAGGGAAUCUUCCGCAAUGGACGAAGGUCUGACGGAGCAACGCCGCGUGAGUGAUGAAGGCUUUCGGGUCGUAAAACUCUGUUGUUAGGGAAGAACAAGUGCUAGUUGAAUAAGCUGGCACCUUGACGGUACCUAACCAGAAAGCCACGGCUAACUACGUGCCAGCCGCCGCCGUAA
rnacentral:rRNA from 1 species